UACGAAGGGGGCUAGCGUUGCUCGGAAUCACUGGGCUUAAAGCGUGUGUAGGCGGAUCGUUAAGUACCUUGUGAAAAUCCCACGGCUCAACCGUGGAACUGCUGGGUAUACUGGCGAUCUUGAGCCACCUAGGGGCGAGCGGAACAAGCGGUGGAGCGGUGAAAUGCGUAGAUAUCAUUUGGAACGCCAAUGUGAAAAACAGCUCGCUGGGGGGUGUGCUGACGCUGAGACACGAAAGCCAGGGGGAGCGAAACGGG
rnacentral:rRNA from 1 species